UACGUAGGGUGCGAGCGUUAAUCGGAAUUACUGGGCGUAAAGUGUGCGCAGGCGGCCGCGCAAGUCGAGUGUGAAAUCCCCGAGCUUAACUUGGGAAUUGCGCUCGAAACUACGUGGCUGGAGUGUGGCAGAGGAAGGUGGAAUUCCACGUGUGGCGGUGAAAUGCGCAGAUAUCAGGAGGAACACCGGUGGCGAAGGCGGGUCUCUGGGCCGAUACUGACGCUGAGGAGCGAAAGCGUGGGGAGCGAACAGG
rnacentral:rRNA from 1 species